AGCAAGUUGCAGAAGUGGUGCA
rnacentral:siRNA from 1 species